rnacentral:rRNA from 1 species
UUCCGGUUGAUCCUGCCGGACCCCACUGCUAUCGGGAUAGGACUAAGACAUGCAAGUCAAGCGCUUUCUAGCUAAUGUGAGAGCGCGGCGUACAGCUCAGUAACACGUGGCCAACCUGCCCUUGGGACGGGAACACCCCCGGGAAACUGGGGUUAAUUCCCGAUAGGUGAAGAAGUCUGGAAUGACUCUUCGCUCAAAAGACGUUUAUGUCAUGCUCAUAUUCGUCGCCCAGGGAUGGGGCCGCGACCGAUCAGGUUGUUGGUGAGGCAAUGGCUCACCAAGCCUUUUACCGGUGCGGGCCGUGAGAGCGGGAGCCCGGAGAUGGGCACUGAGACAAAGGCCCAGGCCCCACGGGGCGCAGCAGUCGCGAAAAUUUUGCAAUACACGAAAGUGUGACAGAGCUAUCCCGAGUGCCAUCCGCUGAGGAAGGCUUUUACCCAGUAUAAAUAGCUGGGAGAAUAAGGAGAGGGCAAGUCUGGUGUCAGCCGCCGCGGUAAUACCAGCUCUCCGAGUAGUGUGGACGUUUAUUGGGCCUAAAGCAUCCGUAGCUUGCUAGAUAAGUCCUCUGUUAAAUCCACCGAUUCAAUCGUUGGAUUGCGGGGGAUACUGUUUGGCUAGGGGACGGGAGAGGUCGACGGUAUUUCCGGGGUAGGGGUGAAAUCCUAUAAUCCCGGGAGGACCACCAGUGGCGAAGGCUGUCGACUAGAACGCGCCCGACGGUGAGGGAUGAAAGCUGGGGGAGCGAACCGGAUUAGAUACCCGGGUAGUCCCAGCUGUAAACGAUGCAGGCGGGGUGUUUUGGGGCGCGGCCCACAAGCCCGCCCCUAGUUGCCCGCAGGGAAAGCUGGUUAAGCCUGCCGCCCUGGGGAGUACGGCCGCAAGGCUGAAACUUAAAGGAAUUGGCGGGGGAGCACCACAAGG